GCAUUAAUUAAGCAUGCAAAUAGCUGAUUUUUAGGAAAAAUGUAAAUUUGUGUGAAUAGUUAAAGGGCUUAAACUAAACCAAAUUGUCUGAAAUUUUGUACAAUAAUUAAAAUCCCGACAAAUUUUCCAUCUAUCAACUCAAAAUAUGAUUACAGCUUUUAAAUUUUGUGCGCGAGCCAUUUUUAGUUUGUUGGAAAAGACACACCCCCCUAGUUCACAAAAUUUGAGUUCGAGAAAUUUUUUUCAUUAUUCUACAUUAUAUGUACCCAAAGAAGCUAUAUAUAUAAACUAGGAGUUGCUAUCGCAAGGAAAGUGCUGCCUUUUAGCCACAUGAAUUGAAUGCAAAAGUUUAUACUUCUACACAAUUCUGUAAAGGGAAGCCUUUCACUUUUGACCCACUGUGCUCAUUUCCACGUUUCAUCAUUGUUAGUAUGGCAGGCCUGCACAUGAUGGUUAUAUGCCGUAUCUUUCCUGCAUAAAUUUGUUUCUCGUUCAUCAUUUAAGACCAAUCGCAAACUUAUAAAUAACCAACAUGUAAAUGAGGCCACUGGGUCAAAAGUGGAUAAACAGCAUUAAGAAGGGCUAUUAACCCAUUAGCUAACUCUGUUUAACGACAGACAAAUUAAUUUACACUGCAUGUGUAACGCCAGACGAUUUUACUUGUCAGUGAUAGAGUACUGUCAGUAAAUGGGUUAACAAAUCUAUCUGCCAAUGUCUCUUAUUAACAACCCAUUAACUGGCAAUGCGCCCUACCUUAGUAUUUACUGUCUAUCAACGCCAGACAAUUUUACUCGCCAGUAGGUAGAGUCAUGCCAGUAAAUGGGUUAAUUUCUCGUCACGUCCCAAUUUAAAAUUUUACAUUUUUACGAUUCUUAUUGUUUCUAAUCAUGUAUUUACUCACCGCUUGGCCAAACAUUCUUUAUUUCAUAUCGAGAAAAAAAUUUGAAUAUUUUCUAAACUCUUCAGAAUUUGCUCAGAAUCAUGUGAGUAAAAUACUCCUUGUAUUCAAGUGCUUUCGUGUAGAAAGUUUCGUUUGAAUACGGCACAGAGUAAAAAUAUUUAUUUUGAAUUUUUCAAAAUAUCGAGUUUUUACUCGCACGCUUGCGCCACGUGUAUGCUUGGCCAUAUAUAGCCCGAUGCAAACACUG